CUUAGCUGAGGCUCUUUGGGGGUUCGGAGUAUGAAAACCGGCGGCCACCAUCCUGACCUGUGUGGAUGGGUUAGAAAGGCCAGGAGGGAGAGAGGAAGAGGGCAACCAUCCUGACCUGUGCGGGUGGGUUAGAAAGGCCAGGAGGGAGAGAGGAAGAGGGCAGAAAAGACCCGACCGUGGCGACCCCUGCACAAGCUUGGGGGAAAGACGAGGGGAGAGAAAUGGCUGAGAGAGCGGGGAGAGAAAAACUAGGUGGAAAACCUUCUGGACAAGCCAAGCGAAUCCAGCCUGAACGAAAAGAGACGCCGCUGAGUGGGAAGGAGGACGUUGGCACCCACUCGCUUUGGUGAGAAUCAGAGAAGCAAGAAAUAGGAAGUUGACGGAGAGCCACCGUCCGGGGGAUGGCCAGCGCUAGAAGGAAAUGGAUUCGGAGUUCAUUUAUUUGUUUUAUUUGAAGCUUACCUUCUGUCGUAGAAUUGCUCCUGAGCAUUGGCUCCAAGGCAACAGAGUUGGAAGGGGUUGGAGGUUCAGCGGCUUGCCCAGAGUGGCACAGCUUGGGCGUGUCUGAGGCCAGAUUUGAACCCCAAAACUCGCCUCUGCAGGCCUGGCUCUCUAUUCCUGGAGCCGGCCGGGCUGUCUCUAAUACGGUUUUUUAAAAUGCCAGUCAGUGGUCAGGACCCAAAGGCACCGAGAAGAAAAGUGCCAACUGGGGCAGCUUGAAGGGUGCCCUCUUGGCCUGGACGUUGUCAGAGAGGGCCGCACUGGGGAGGGUGGGAGGACGGACACACGAGUGAGCUCUCUUGCUCGCUGCUGGAGAAGCUUCGGAUGGGUCACAGGUCACAGAGUCAGUCAGCUAGCCUUUGCUGGCGGCUCCUGGGUGCCAGGCCAGGCCUCGGCCUACCAGGGAAGGCAGAAGCCCCCCUAGCCCUCGGGGGGGCAAGGCCCCAGGAAUUUGGACAGAUAGGGGUGAUUGGAGGGUUGGGGAGUCUCAGAGAUGGGGGGCUCCGAGAGGAAGAAGAGGAGGAGGAAGGAAGAGAGAAGGAGGUCCCCUCAAGGGUUGUCCAGUCUGCUCUGUCCGGCCUGUUUCGCCCUCCCUGACCAGCAGGGGCCACUCUCUGGGCUGGCCUCUCUCAGGUUCCGGCCUGGACCUGCAGGAGGCCUGUGCAGGGGUCACGGGCAGCGAGCUAGGGGCUGCUUCUUCCCCUUUCCCGGGCAUGGGCUGGCCCCAGGGCAGCAGGGGGCUGAAGGACAUGACCGAUGCAGAGACUUGUGGCCCUCCUCAGCAGACCUCAGCGGGCACCGGACCCAGGCCCUAGCCCCAGACCACCAACUCAAAGCCUGGGAGCCGCUCGUCCCCCCAGAAUGUAUUCACACCAAGUGUUGUCUAGCCAUGGCUCUCCAUCCUCUCCUUGUGCCAUUCAGUGUGAGGACCUGGUGUUGGUCUCUACGUUUGUAUCCGUUUGCCUGAAUUUCUUAGUUUUAAGCUGUUGGAGCUACAAGGAGCCUUCGAGGCCCUUGAGACCUUCCAGGUCCAACCUGAACGUGGCCUUGGAGGAAUGCAUGACUGCCCUGGACCUCUUCCUCACCAACCAGUUCUCCGAGGCGCUCACCUACCUGCAGCCCAAGUAGGAGCCUCACUUGUUGGGGAUGGGGGAUGGGAGGGGGCUCCUCCCUCAGCAGAUGUUUCCAUCUGUGUGAUGGGCAGCACCCAGCAGCCUCGGAGCUUCUUGCCCUCUGCUAUGAAUCAGCUUCCUGGCAGGUCCUUUAACCGCUUGGAGCCUCUGUUUUCUCAUCUGUAAAAUGGGGGAAAUCAUGGCUCCUCCCUCUCAGGGCUGCUGGGAGGAUCAAAUGAGAUCACCCCCCCCAGUACCGAAUGAAUGCUGGGGCUAACGAUGGGACAGUCCCUGCUUGCAGGGGGCUUACGGUCUUCUGGGGGCCGGCACCCACGUACUCACCUCGGGGUCAGGGAGGGCUUCAUGGAAGCAGAGGUACUUGGGUAGAGCUUCGGACGGGAAUGAGGCUUCUGAGGAGGGUCACUGAGGAGGGCAGGCAUCCCAGGCAAGGGGCACGACCUAAGCAAAGGCAAGGAGAUGAGAGAAGGAACGUCAAGAUGAUGAAAUAGUCAGCAGGGCCAUUUUGGACCGAAGGACUAGAGAGGCAAAAAGGCUUAUCCAAAGCUACACAGCCAGUCAUUACCAGGACCAGACUGUCAACAGGAAAGUGAGAGGAGCAGGGGAGAGAGAGAGACAGAAGAGGGAACUGGGGGGGC
rnacentral:lncRNA from 1 species